ensembl:lncRNA
AAAAAUAAAAAAAGGAUGGAGCAGAAUUAUUUACAUUUCAGGGUAUCUUCUAUUCACACUGAAUUUUUUUCGGAUUGUUUUCGGUAAUGAAUUUAUUUUUAAUUUUUAAUUUUUUGUUUUUCACAUUUUAUACAUACAAGACAAUAAAAAAAAAAAAAUAGACACAUAUAUAUAUAUACAUAAAUUUGCAUACAUGGGAUCAUACAUGUUCUAAUUUUGAGUAAACGUGAAAGAAAUCACAGAUGUUGCCAUAAGCAUUAGUACAUGUUUUAGUAUAUGUCUUAGUAAAUGUCUUAGUAAAUGCCUUAGAACAUUCCUUAGUACAUUCCUUAGUACAAAUAUAUAUGCAAAAGUGGAUUGUUUUCUUAAAAUUGUUGAAAACUCAACAUUUGGAAUUUAUAAAAAACAAAGGAACGGUGCUUAUAAAUUUAAUUUUAUAAGUGCUUAAAUAAUACACAUGCGUGGGUAUAUAUAUAUAUUAUGGUAUUAUGUUGAUAUGAGCGAAUUUAAAUAAUUAAGUGGCAAAAAAAAAAAAAAAAAAAAAAAAAAAAAAAAAAAAAAAAAAAAAAAAAAAAAAAAAAAAAAAAAAAAAAAAAAAAAAAAAAAAGUGCCAUAGUUGCUCAAAAGCAAAAAUGGAUAUGAAUAACGAAGUAGUUAAACUGUUAAUGUGUGUGGGAAAUAAAAUUAACAAGAAUGCUGAAGAGCUAAAACCAUUUAUUAAAAUAAUAGUAAAUGAUAAUUGGCUAGACUCUUUAGAAAGUUUAAAAAAGUUAAGUGAUGAUGAAUGGAAUAUGUUAAAACUACCUUUACGUUUACAGGCUGAAAUAAGAAAGGAAUUAUUUAGUAGUACAACGGAAGAAAAAGAUGAAAAAAAUAAAAAAAAAUUUGGUAACAAGAAUGAUAAAUUAUGCCAAGUAAGAGAUAUUACUACAACCGAAUAUAGUCAGAAUAAAGAUAGGAGUAGUGGUAGUAGUAGAAGCGGUAGUAGUAGAAGCUGUAGUAGUAAUAGUAGUAACCGAGACCAUAGUUCAUUAAUCACAAAAGAAAGAAUUAGUACCUAUAACUAUAACAAUAGCUGUGAAAAAAAAAAAAUUAGUGUCCGUCCAAGUAUAGGAGACAAUAAAUAUACAAAUAAAAUAAAAAGCAAUAAUAAUAUAAAUACUAUUAAUGACAGUACAAACGUAACUGCAAAGGAAAAAAGUGUAAACUAUGCAAUAAUAACAUAUAAUAAAAAAGAUAUAGAGAAGUUAAUCAAUGAUGAUAGAACGAACAUCGAUAUGAUAAAAAAAGAAGAUAUUUUUCAUUUAUCUUAUGAAUCAAACCAUUUAGAAUCUAGUUAUUCGGAACAAACGAUAAGAUCUAUGAGUUGUGUAACUAUUGCAAGAAAAUUAAAACAUAUAAAUAUAGAAGAAUUAAAAACAAUUUUACCAAUUUUAAAUAAAAUUGUACAAAACAUUAUAAAUAAUCCUAAUAUGUUAAAUACUCGUAUUUUAAAAACAACUAAUUCGAUUAUGCAAAAUAAAUUAUUAAAACAUAAAGAAGCGAAAGAAUUUUUAUUAAGUAUAGGUUUUUCAGAGGUAUCUAUUUUUUACGUUAUGGAGAAUGUUGACACAUUUUUAUUAUUAUGUGUUCUUGAAGUAUUAGAUAAUAUAGCAAAGGAUUUAAAAAUAACAUUUACCCCUUUAAAAAAUACAUUUAAUCCUUUUAAAUUGUCUAUAACUUCUUUAAACGAAACAACUAAAAGGAGCAAAUUGAAUAAUAAUGAAGAAAUCGAUAAGUUACUAAAAGAAAAAAAAAAAGAAGCGGAACAAAUCAUGAAUCAGAAGGUAGAGUUAAAUCCAAAAAUAUAUAUACUUCAAAAAAGUACCAUUACCAGUGCCAGUAAUGACACAGGCAUUAACAAAACUAUUGAGAAUAAUAUAAACGUUGCUAAAAGAAGUAGCAUAAAUUCGUCAUUCGUUCAUGACAAAAAUGGUAGAAAUGACAAAAAUGGUAGAAAUGACAAAAAUGGUGAUAAUGACGAUAAUGAAGAUAGUGAAACAACUGCGGAAGACCUGAAGCAUCUUAUACCCAACAUAAAAAAUAUAUUUAAAGAACAAACAUUUAAGUCAAGAACAAAGUUGGAGUUAGAAAAAAUAAAUAAAACAAAAGUUUAUUCAAAGACUAUUUUAAAAAUAUUAUUUCCAGAUUCCUAUAUAUUGGAAAUGUCCUUUUCUACUGGUGCGUUUAUAAGACAUGUAAAUGAAUGCAUAAAAAAGUUUUUGAACAAAUCAAUCAUUUCACAAAAAUGGUACAUAUAUGAGACACCCCCCACUAGAAGAUUUGAAGAUCAUAAAAAAUUAUCGGAUUACAAUUUGUUUCCUCAUGCCUUGUUGCGAUUUAAAAUAGAUAAUGAAAAUGAAAAUCUUAUUGAAACAUCAUUUUUGUCGGAUGAAGCUAUUCAGAAAUACGGUUCUACUUGUGAAACAAGUUGAAAAAAAAAUAAAAAUAAAAAAAUGGCAAAGUGGGAGAAUAAA